GGAAGAAGCCGUACAAAACCACUGUAGAAAUACAGCUUUAGCAGAUUGGAUCUGUCUGUGUGCUCAGUACCAGGGAUUGAACUCAAGACCUUGCACUUGCCAGGCAGAGCCUCAGCAGCAGCAGCGGAAGAUCAAACAGCAGCUCACCAGCUGGACCAGGGGCCCAGGAGGGGCCUGUGGAUGCUCUCUGAUACCUGUGAGCCGCCACUUCCGCCUCCCCUUGCUGUCACCUGUGGCCCAAAAAUGCAAGCCAGAAGCUGUGGGACCCUCCUCCCUCCCAGACUCCACUGUUCCUCUUUGUUUUGUCUUUGCUGUUCCUCAAAGACCAGUUUGUUUGAUCUUUCCAUCUCCUCAUCGUUUGGGUCUAAAUUGAGAGACCCAGGUGAGGUCCGAGAGGGAACAGCAAUCAGAUCCGUCAGAGGGUGAAAGAUGAAAGUGCCAG
ensembl:lncRNA